AUUGAACGCUGGCGGCAUGCCUAACACAUGCAAGUCGAGCGGAUGAAGGGAGCUUGCUCUUGGAUUCAGCGGCGGACGGGUGAGUAAUGCCUAGGAAUCUGCCUGGUAGUUGGGGAUAACGUCCGUAAACGGGCGCUAAUACCGCAUCCGUCCUGAUGUAGAAAGUGGGGGAUCUUCGGACCUCACGCUAUCAGAUGAGCCUAGGUCGGAUUAGCUAGUUGGUGGGGUAAAGGCCUACCAAGGCGACGAUCCGUAACUGGUCUGAGAGGAUGAUCAGUCACACUGGAACUGAGACACGGUCCAGACUCCUACGGGAGGCAGCAGUGGGGAAUAUUGGACAAUGGGCGAAAGCCUGAUCCAGCCAUGCCGCGUGUGUGAAGAAGGUCUUCGGAUUGUAAAGCACUUUAAGUUGGGAGGAAGAGAAGUAAGUUAAUACCUUGCUGUUUUGACGUUACCAAAAGAAUAAGCACCGGCUAACUUCGUG
rnacentral:rRNA from 1 species